GAAGCGCGUCUUUCCCCACCCUCCCUAACAAACCUCCGUUGCUGUUUUAAGAUCCGAUCUCCCCUUCCCCCCUCCCCUCCCUUCCUCCUGAGUCCUGACCACCCCUCCUCGCGCUCCAGCUAAAUCCACGCCACCGAUGGCCCGCACGGGCCUCGCGGACGCAACGGCGCCGGAAGCCGACGCAAUGCCGGCCGCCAGCAAGGACGCCGCCGACGUCCGCAUGAUCUCCACCAAGGAGCUGCAGGCGCACGCUGCCGCGGACGACCUCUGGAUCUCCAUCUCCGGGGACGUCUACGACGUCACGCCGUGGCUGCGCCACCACCCGGGCGGCGAGGUCCCGCUCAUCACCCUCGCCGGCCAGGACGCCACCGACGCCUUCAUGGCCUACCACCCGCCCUCCGUGCGCCCGCUCCUCCGCCGCUUCUUCGUCGGCCGCCUCUCCGACUACACCGUCCCCCCCGCCUCCGCCGACUUCCGCCGCCUCCUCGCGCAGCUCUCCUCCGCGGGCCUCUUCGAGCGCGUCGGCCACACCCCCAAGUUCCUGCUCGUCGCAAUGUCGGUGCUCUUCUGCAUCGCCCUCUACUGCGUCCUCGCCUGCUCCAGCACCGGGGCCCACAUGUUCGCCGGCGGCCUCAUUGGCUUCAUCUGGAUCCAGUCGGGCUGGAUUGGCCAUGACUCCGGCCACCACCAAAUCACCAGGCACCCCGCGCUCAACCGCCUCCUGCAGGUGGUCUCCGGGAACUGCCUCACCGGCCUCGGCAUCGCCUGGUGGAAGUUCAACCACAACACACACCACAUCUCCUGCAACAGCCUCGACCAUGACCCGGACCUCCAGCACUUGCCGCUCUUCGCGGUUUCCACCAAGCUCUUCAACAACCUUUGGUCGGUCUGCUACGAGCGCACCUUGGCGUUUGAUGCCAUAUCCAAGUUCUUCGUCAGCUACCAGCACUGGACAUUCUACCCGGUGAUGGGAUUUGCAAGGAUAAAUCUUCUUGUGCAGUCAAUCGUGUUCCUGAUCACGCAAAAGAAGGUGCGGCAGCGUUGGCUGGAGAUCGCCGGAGUUGCAGCGUUCUGGGUUUGGUACCCCUUGCUGGUCUCUUGCCUGCCGAAUUGGUGGGAGAGGGUUGCUUUUGUGCUUGCAAGCUUUGUGAUCACGGGGAUUCAGCAUGUUCAGUUCUGCCUGAACCACUUCUCAUCCGCUGUGUAUGUUGGGCCACCAAAGGGGAACGACUGGUUUGAGAGGCAAACAGCGGGCACACUUGAUAUCAAGUGCUCCCCGUGGAUGGAUUGGUUCCAUGGUGGUCUGCAGUUCCAGGUUGAACACCAUUUGUUUCCUCGCCUGCCUCGCUGCCACUAUAGGAUGGUCGCGCCGAUUGUGCGUGACCUUUGCAAGAAGCAUGGGCUGUCUUAUGGUGCCGCCACAUUCUGGGAGGCAAAUGUAAUGACAUGGAAGACGCUAAGGGCUGCAGCAUUGCAGGCCAGGGAAGCCACUACUGGAGCUGCUCCAAAGAAUCUGGUCUGGGAAGCUUUGAACACUCAUGGAUGACUGGGAUCAGGACUGGAGUAUGAGACAAUUGUAAGCGUCGAGCCUUGCGUGCAUGCAGUUAUCUGAUUGCUUCUCGAUUGCGUAGAGAUAUUGAUCCUUUUAGCUGUUGGAAUCGUGUUGGAUUUUUCGUGUUGCCAGGUGACUAUCUUUGCAGUUCAAUCGUGGGUUCAUGCUUCAGUUGUGUACUUGUACACCAUAUUUAGAUUGUUGGGUUCUCCCUAUCAUGGUAACUACAUCAAUAGUACUUGAUUUACAUCAUAAAAUCCGUGGCUUAUCUUUACAUCCAUUUCAUUUUGCUUGCAAGUUCAUGAAACUGUAAACUCAAUUGAUGGUUUGUAGCGUGUAUAUCCUGCUGCUAUGGCAGCUUGAACUGCAUUUUGGGAACAUGACGAUUCCAAUAAUAAACGUUUAGACAUUUUCUACUGCAUGUGUAUGCCCU
rnacentral:rRNA from 1 species